AACAAAACGUGACCCAAGGGAGGCAGGUGGGAGAGGGACAGAGCCUCAGUGUGAGCAAGCAUCCAGAGCAGUCCAGAAGACAGGAGUACGUCGGAGGCCAGCGUUCACAAACCAUCUGAACCCCACAGCAGCUGCAUUUCCGUCGGCUUCAGGUUCUUCCUAAAUGACUUGCUGAUCACACAAACAGCACACACUGGUUGGGUGAAGCCCAGAGGCCCAGGAAAACCUAGCCUCGAGACGCUGGAUAAAGAUGUAUUGGAUGAUAAAACAAAAGCACCGACACGCCGAGGGGAAAUCACAUGACGAGAUAUGAAAUUAAAAACAAAUGAAAAAGGAAGGCACAGUGGCUAUGUUUAUGUAACAGGACCCCAGACCUUAGCACAAUAGGUACCACGUUAGAGGUACAAUUCUCACCUCACAAGCUGGGAGGUAGGCCCCACACCUGCCAAAAUGGGAACCAAGACCUAAUCCAUCAAAUCCACCGCGGCCCAUGGUUCCAGGAUCCAGAAAAGGCCCUAAAUAUACUAACCUUGUUUUUUGGCUUCUGUAGUUCUGCUUCUUGCUAACUGUUCUUGCUAACUGAAGUGUGCCAACCGAGCUGUGGCUGGUGCAUAAAAGCUAAGGAGCUGUGAGGAUCUGGGCUGUGUGAUGUCGGUAAGUUCCCCAUAUAGCUGUCAACCUGUAAUAAAGACUUUCUUCCGGCUUUUAAAGCAUUCUCUGGUGGACGUAGUUUGUAACGUUCACAGUAGAUUCGAAUCCUUUGUCUAUUAGGACUUGAUCCUCAGCCUCUGUUAUUAGCAAAUAAUGUUUCAAGUAACACAAAAUAUAUGAUUAUUGUAAGAAAAUUAAAACAAUGCACGGAAAUAAACUUUGAAUGUUGGAAUAUGUAUCCCACCCUACCCAACUUGUCAGUGGUUUGUAAUAAAACUUUGAA